AGAAUUUGAAUCAGCUCUUGUUGAAACUACACGAAAAUUUCAUUGUUUACUAAAGUACACAGGUAAUAAAGCUCUUUUAAAAUCCAAAGCUGUCAGACGAAUUCACAAGUUCCAUAUAUAAGUAUAUAUAUGAAUACGACGUUAGUGUACCAGUGAUGUAAAUUUAAUGCAUCUUCUAUACCGCCUUCAAUGAGUUUUCUUGCGAUUUUUAUCGCAAAAUUGCGACUUGAAAGGACCAGCCUGUUGGAGAAGAAAAACCGAAGCGAUCCGCAUAUAAAAGACUUUGUGAUAUCAUCAGGCUUUUCAUAUGAAAAAAAUUACAUUUUUUUUACAAACAAUUAAA